rnacentral:hammerhead_ribozyme from 1 species
GUACUGCUGAAGAGUCCCAAAAGAAAAUAGGACAAAACGGCCGUCCAAUAC